rnacentral:miRNA from 2 species
CUACAGCACGAAACUGCCUUAA